UACAGAGGUCCCAAGCGUUGUUCGGAUUCACUGGGCGUAAAGGGUGCGUAGGCGGCCGGGUAAGUCUGCUGUGAAAUCCCGCAGCUCAACUGCGGAACUGCAUUGGAAACUAUCCGGCUCGAGGAAUGGAGGGGAGACUGGAAUUCUCGGUGUAGCAGUGAAAUGCGUAGAUAUCGAGAGGAACACCAGUGGCGAAGGCGAGUCUCUGGACAUUUCCUGACGCUGAGGCACGAAAGCCAGGGGAGCAAACGGG
rnacentral:rRNA from 1 species